rnacentral:rRNA from 1 species
UUGACCUCGGAUCAGGUAGGAAUACCCGCUGAACUUAAGCAUAUCAAAU